GAAUUGAAGAAACUAGUUGAGUACACUCUAUCGGCUUUGUGAUAUUUUUUUUUAUUAUACUACUACUUGUGUAGAUAUUUUUAUACCUAUCUCUGGAUGAUAUAUACAUACACACACACACACUUAUAUAUUUAUACCUGAUCCCACCUCUGGUAUAACCAGGGGUCCGUGUUUGCCCAACUCUCUAUAUUUGGUAUAUUGUAUUGCUUAUAGGGGUUAUAAGAUUGAUCACUGUUCAUUGUCUUUGCCUUUCUUGAAUACUCGUGUGUGCGAGACAUCUAGUUUCAAUUUUCAAUGAAUAUAUUUACUUAAGGAAUAUUCUAUCAAAGAUAUGCAGGUGGAAAAAUGUAUUUCAGUCUUAUCAUGCUUAUUGUAGAGAACAGAGGAUCCCUACCCUCAAUGGUUUCCUUCGUAUUGAGCUGAUGCAAGUGUCUGUAAAUCCUACAUCUGAGUCAUGGCUUCAAAAUGAUGCCUCGCAAAGCAAAAAGUGCUACUCAGAAAGCCAAAGAGCAACGCCAGAGAAUGCGUGAGAGGCGAGGCGAAGCUUCCAAAAUGAGCAACAUCUCUAUAAACUGUCCUGAAGAGAGCAACAUCUCUUUAAACUGUCCUGAAGAGAGCAACAUUUCUUUAAACUGUCCUGAGGAGAGCAACAUCUCUUUAAACUGUCCUGAAGUGAGCAACAUCUCUUUAAACUGUCCUGCUAAUAUUGAGAAACACAAUGAAAAAGUAGAAAAUAACAAAAUGAAAAAUGUUAUUGAAAAACUAGAAAAUCGCAAAAUGAAGGAUAAUGAAAAACUAAAAAAUGAAAAAAUAUAAAAAAUGAGAAACUUGAAGUGAAGACACAGAAUGAAACACCAGAAAUGGAAAAGGGGAUAAGAAAAAGAACAUUGAAUGAUAAAUUACGAAAAAGAGAAAAUGCAUCAUUUAAACAUCACAAGAGAGACAGAAUUGAAAUGAGAAAUACUAUUGUUCAAGGUAGUUUUCAUCAAGGAGAUGCAAGAUUUGGGACAAAUAGUGGAAAACAGUGUGUUUCAAACAGUUUGUCUGCAAUAGUUCAUGCGAAAUUAAAAGAUGUGAAUGAAUGGGAUCAAGCAUUUUUAGACAAUGUUUUAAUGAAAGGAAACGAGAUAUACACAUGGAUUCAUGGAAGAAAUGAUUUGUUACUGAUUUCAGAUCUGCCAGAUAUGAUGGAAAUGUCUGGAGAAAUGAUACAUAUUAGAAUGAAAAAUUCUAUAACAGCAACUGUUGAUUCAGCAGGAGAAAUUGAUUUCAAUGCUUUUGGAAAUUGCCUGCCAUUAGAUCUUGCAAUUCAAGAAUCUCUCAUUGAAGCUGAUGGUUGUUUCAUCUGUGCCAUUGAUAAAACUUUUAUGGUAUUGAAACAAGACGGCAACUUAUUUUUAUUUGAUUCACAUGCAAGAAACAGUUUUGGAUUAGUAGAUCCAAAUGGUAAAAGUCUACUUAUGCAAUUGAGAGAUCUGGACCAUUUGUAUGAAUAUUGCUGUAAUUUAAUGGUUGGAAUAAUGCCAGAAAAUCAAUGGUUUGAAAUUACAGGUGUAAAUAUCACAAUUCAAGAUUCUUCACUUGAAAUUGAACAUGUACUUGACAUGAAUCAAGUAGAACAUCAUGUGAACAAUAGCUGUGACUCUAAUCCAGGUGUACUUACAUCAGAAAUGAAAGAUCUCACUCAAAAACAUGUGUAUGAAUCCCUCAAAAACCAAUCUUCAGAUGUGGAGAUGCUAUCAAAACAUGAAAAGAAAGGUGAAAUUCAUAAAUGUAACAGUGAUUUUAUGGGCAUAGAAAUCUUAUCAGACAAUGAAAAUUCAAUUCAGAAUGAUUCAGACCUAGAAAUUUUGUCAGAAAAUGAAAAUCCUGUCAGUUAUGAAUUUACUUCCCUGUCAGUUACAAACAAAAGGAAAUUAUGUAAAAUCCUGAAAAUUUCAUCUAAACAAGUGUCCAAAAGAAUAUCUGGAGUUACUUGCAAUAUGGGUCCUCCGAAAGACACAAAAGCAAUAGGAAAAGAUGGGAAUUGUUUAUUUAGAGCAAUUUCUUAUGCUGUUUCAAAUAGACAAGAGCACCACAAAAAGGUUAGAACUGCUGUUGUAAACCACAUGAGAAAAUCUGCAGAUGCUUUGAAAUCAUUUCUCCGACCAGAAUUUCAAUCUGUUGAGGAUUAUAUCAAGGUAUCUAAAAUAGAAAAUGACAGUGUCUGGGGAACAGAACUAGAAAUUUUGGCUACCACUGAUCUUUUGAAAACUGACAUUUUCAAAUGGGUCAUGGCUUAAGUACUCAUCCUCUCAGAUAUGCGGUAACAAUAAUGUGAAUGAUGAAUCAAUAUAUCUGAAACAUACUGGCAAUCAUUAUGAACUUGUUACAAAUGUGAAAGGUCAAGGACAAUCAAAGUUAGAAAAAGAAAAAAACAAGUAUGAAACGUGCCAGGAAUUCAGGAAUAGAAAAAGAAAGAUAUCAAAAGAGACAUUCAUAUAUGAUAAAAAUGCAAAAAAGGAGAAAUAUGAAAAGGAUGUAGAGUUUCAGCAGAAAAUGAAAGAUGCAAGCAAAAAGAGAUAUCAAGAAGAUUAUGAUUUCAGAUUACAUGUUAAAAAUGCAAGUAAAGAAAAGUAUGAAAAUGAUGAGUUCAGAUUAAAAGUUCAGAAUGCGAGCAAGGAAAAGUAUGAAAAUGAUGGAGAGUUCAGAUUGAAAGUUCAGAAUGCGAGCAAGGAAAAGUAUGAAAAUGAUGGAGAUUUCAGAUUGAAAGUUCAGAAUGCGAGCAAGGAAAAGUAUGAAAAUGAUGGAGAUUUCAGGUUGAAAGUUCAGAAUGCGAGCAAAGAGAAGUACAAAAGAGAAGAUGAUUUCAGGGAAUUUUUAAUACAGUAUAGCAAACAAAAAUAUAGACAUGAUGAAACACAUCGAGAUAAAAUCAAAUAUCAGGUGUCUGAACGUCGAAAUGCUCAGAGAGACGAAUGUAAAAACAUUGAAAAUGUUCUUACAAAAUUCCGUGAUGAAGUUAAGAAUGGAUCAGAAUAUGUGUGUGCAUGUUGCUUUAGGCUGUUUUUUCAAAAGCAGGUGCUCUCCUGCUUGAAAGAGAAAUAUGAUAGUACAUUAUUCGAGACAUUCAUUUCUGAGAGGUUUUUGCACAAAUGUGAAGCGAACUGUGUUUCAGAAUGUACGUUCAUGAGAACAAGUAAAACGCAGCUGUGGAUUUGUUAUACUUGUCACAGAAAGUUAGCAAAUGGUAACAUACCAGGUGAUUCCUUUGCAAACAAUCUUGAGCUAGAGGAAGUUCCAAAAGAGCUUGGUAGCUUAAAUACAUUAGAACAGCACCUAGUAGCAUUAAAUAUACCUUUCAUGAAAAUUCUUGGUUUACCAAAAGGAGGACAAAAGGGUGUUCAUGGUCCAGUUGUGUGUGUGCCAUCAGAUUUAAGAAAAGUAACAUCAACUUUACCAAGAUCAGAAGAUGAGAGUCUUUUACUGAAAGAGAAAAUUAAAGUAUAAAGGAUAUGAGGAGUACCAGUUCGUAAAUCCAAAACAUCUAGAGGAAGCGUUGUUGUUCUUGAAAAGGAAUAAUGCGUGGUAUUCCGAAAUUAGAGUAAAUGAAAAUUGGCUUAAUCCUAUUCCCGAGGAAAUGGAAUUAAAUGACGAUAAUGAUUAUGACAAAACACCUGUAACUGUGGACACAAUGAUGAAUGACAGUCAAGUAACAGAGACUCUUAUUUCUAAAAACAAAGAAACUGAAUCAGAGUCAUUUCUUGAUGAAAAACUUCAAGGUGUACAAUUAGAUACUUGUUUACAGCCCGCAGACAUUGGUCAAGAAGUAUUAGAUUUAUGUUUUGAUCAAGUUUUCGAAAUUUCUCCAGCAGAAGGAAACAAUCCUCUAUCAGUUUUACAAGAGGAAGGAAUCGAAGCAAAAACAUUCCCUGUUCAUUUUCCAACUGGUCACAACAGCUAGAAUGUUUGACCAUAGAUUCCAUGCUUUCCUGAAGGAAGUUAUUUUGUCAGAUGCUGAACCCAUUGGAAAAGUUCUUGACUAUUUUUAUAGAGUUGAAUUUCAACAAAGAGGUUCACCACACACACACUGUUUGUUUUGGAUAGAAGGAGCUCCAAAAUUUGACACGCAUUCGGAAGAGAGAAGUGAAAAGUUAACCCUUGGAAGAUACUUCAAUAAUCGGUUAAUGAGUGUUGAAAAUAGAUUUGCAAGAGACACAUCGUACAUUUUUUUUGCUCAGUACUUAACGGAAUUGAGUCGAGUUAUAUCGAAUGUGCAAAUUUCUUUAAGAAAACAAUCAGGUUAGUCUUCGGAGGGCAAACAAAUUGCCGGAGAAAUGUUAUGUGACAAAAGUACUUUGAAGAAACUUUUCAAGAAAGAUGAAGCAAUUAAGUUCUUGAAGCCUGUUGGAGGAACACCACCCUAUUGGCAAGCCGCACAGAAAGAUAUCUUUGCAAUGAUACGCCAGUUGGGAAUACCGCAGUUCUUUUGUUCAUUUUCAUCAGCAGACUUUAGGUGGACAGAAAUGGUAGAAACAAUUCUUAAACAACAGGGUGAUAAUAGAAAAAUAGAAGAUCUGUCAUGGAAUGAUAAAUGCAAAAUCUUGCGCAGUAAUCCAGUCACAACAGCUAGAAUGUUUGACCAUAGAUUCCAUGCUUUCCUGAAGGAAGUUAUUUUGUCAGAUGCUGAACCCAUUGGAAAAGUUCUUGACUAUUUUUAUAGAGUUGAAUUUCAACAAAGAGGUUCACCACACACACACUGUUUGUUUUGGAUAGAAGGAGCUCCAAAAUUUGAAACUGACAGCGAUGCAGAUGUUGUUCACUUAUCAAUAGAUAUAUAACAUGUGAAAUACCAAAUCAACAUGAAGACCCAGAAUUGCAUAACAUUGUUAUGGCUGUGCAACAACAUAGCAAAAAUCAUUCAAAAUCAUGCAAAAAGAAAGGAACAGUUUGUAGAUUUAACUUUCCUAGACCACCAUCUGAGAGAACAUUUAUAUCAAAACCGCAAGACAAUGUUGAAAAAAGUGAAGAACAAUUGGCCAAGGAGAGAUUGUCAGUUCUGUGGGAUACUGUAAACAACAGUGAAAAUGUAAAUGACUCCACUUAAUAUUUACUAUUGAAAGCAGGAGUGACUCAAGAAGACUUUGAGAAAUGCUUUAGUUUCAUCACAAAAAGAAACACUGUUGUACUUAACAGACAGUCCAAUGAGAUUUUUACGAAUCAAUACGACAGGCAUCUUUUGAGAGCGUGGAAUGCAAAUAUGGAUAUUCAGUUCAUUUUAGAUGCAUUUUCUUGCGUUGUUUACAUCAUCAGUUAUAUCAGCAAAGCAGAACGAGAACUAGGACUACUUCUGCAACAAACAAAGAAUGAAGCCGUUGAUGGAAAUUUAAAUGCUCAAAAUGCUAUGAAAAAGGUUGGUACUGCAUAUUUACAUCACAGGGAAAUAAGUGCACAAGAAACAGUUUACAGAGUUACUGGAUUACGAUUAAAAGAGUGCUCGAGAAAGGUUGAAUUUAUUCCAGUUGGGGAAAAUCCCUGUAAAAUGAGUAUUCCUUUGAAAGAAAUUGAAAAGAAGCAGAGGUUUAAGAAACCAAAGCAACAAAUAGAUUGUACAGAAGAACACGUGGAUGAAGAAAGUGAGUCAGAUAUUUGGAUGAUCAGUAUGGUUGAUAGAUAUAGAGAAAGACCUGACACUGAUAUUUUUCAAACGAUGUGCCUAGCAAGAUUUUGCUCAGAAUUUGCAGUUGUGGUUGAAUCACAGUUACCAAAGAAAGUUAAUGAAGCAACUACAUUCAAACUUGAUAACAAUCUAGGAUACAUCAGAAGGAGAACAAAAACAAAACCAGCAGUAAUUAGGUAUCCCAGGUUCUCAGUUGAGACUGCCACAGAGAAAUACUAUCAGAGUAUUUUACAGUUAUUUUUGCCAUACAGAAAAGAAUUGCAAUUAAAACCCAGAAAGUUUGAAACAUAUGAGAUUUUUUAUAAAAUUGGACACAUCAAAUAUCCUGGUGAGGAGACAUUACAAUCAGUGAAAGAAAUUGUAGACAGAAACAUGUCAGAAUAUGUAAAAGAUGGUCAAAACAUGGAAGAAGCAGAAAGAAUCUUUGAUGCACAAGGUCCUCAAGAAGAUGCAUGGUGUGAAUUAUGUCCAGAAACAGAAGCGAAUAGAAUAGAAUGCAUAGAAGAAGGGAAAAAUACAACAGUGGAAGAAAAUGAGUACUCAGAUCAAUCAGUACCUGAUUUGAAUAGAACAGAAACAUCGAAUGUCACGGGAACUAAUCUUUUGUUCUCAACUUUUCCAAAGAAUGAAAUAGUGCCACUUCUUCAAACUCUGAAUUCAAAACAAAGGCAAAUGUUUUACACAAACAUAAAAAUCACGGUGCUGGAGGAGAUGGAUAUUAGAUCUAUUAACAGCAGAUACAGUGCAAAUGGUAAAACAAAUAAAUUCCUGAUUGCUGCAUUAAUUGAAGGCCAAAUAGAAAAUAUUGGUACUUUCAAAGAGGAGUUCGCCAUGAAACUUAAAAAGGGGAACCAGUACAAAAUAUUCAGAAUUCAACACCAUGAUGUCUAUGGAUUUUAAAUAAAGAAGGAUAGUGUGAUCAUGGAUACGAAAUUCAGUUUAAAUGAAACGGAGAAAAAAGUAAUGGAGUUUUAUACUCUUCCAUUACUUUCUUUGAAUGAUGCAGCAGCAAUCGAAAAUUACAAAAGAACAUCAAUAGGGCCAGUGGAAAUCCUGGAAAUUGGAGAACUGCAAACAAAAAACAUGCUUAGGAGAACAGAUCAGAUUGGCCAUGGUGGGAGAACUGCUCUCCUAACAUUAUGGGGGAAACCUGCGCAAAAUUUGGACGUACAGCUGAACAAAACAUACAACGUAUUCGCAAUAAAGCCCGGAAAUGAUUUUAAUUAUCAACGGUCUUAUAAUUCAACCAUAUCAAUAACUUUCCAGGGAAUAUCAGAAGAAGAAUGUGCAGAACUACAAUUUAGUGGCGAGAUAGAGUCAGUCUCGUUUGAAAAUAACUUGGUAGAGAUUGAUGGGGAUCUUUUGAGAAUAUCAAAAGAAAAAAUAGAGAAACUAUUCCCAGAAAAUAUUUUUAUAUCGGGAAUCAAAAUGGAAGGAAAAAGGAAAAGAGAUGAAAUUGUUGAAAUACAGCCAAUAAAGGCUCAGAAAUCCACCAUAAAAAGUGCAUAACAAGGCAGUAACUGUCAGUGAUUGGGAUAAGCACGUGCCCUGCGCCAUAGUUGCAUUAAGACAUGUUCCAUGAAAAAUGCUUGUAUUGACUCCCAUUGGGAAUGUCUUUUCAAAGUGCCAAACUGUGGUAAUUUUUUGUGGUAACUAAAAAUUUAACACUCAGGAUCAAGAAAAUGUAAAAAAUAAAAUUAUAAAAGUAUUCUUUCACUUCUAAUUUCAUUUUUUUUUUAAAACGGUUGAUAACAUCACAUUUUUAUGACGGAACACUUGACGGAAAAUGACAUUAGCAAUUAAUAAAUCUUCUGUUUACUAAACAAGUUAUGAAAUUAUUUAACUACAUGGCUCUCUUAAUGAAAGGUUUAAAUGUAAUUUAUAUACAUUACAUCGAGACCAAUGUUUGUUGUGCUUUAAUAAUGACCCAGAAUCUUUUAUUUUCUGUCAAUGCUAAUGUCAGUUCUGGACGGAACUUUUUUUAUGCUAAUGUUAUUGUUUGACGGAACAAAACCUUGUGGAACUUUUUCGCAGUAAUGUAAAUCAUGAUAGACUAUAAAUAGUUUCCCAUGACGAGUUUUUAUUGCAAUAAAAUAGUCUUUGAAUUCAUAAACCGGUAGUUUAACGUACGAUUUAGUACAAAUAGAACGAUUUCUUAUGAUAACGUCACAUGUUGCUAACGUUAGCAAUUUUGACAGAAAGUCUAUCGCUUGAAGUUUUACAUAAGUUUAGAUACCUCAUUCACUCAACCUGCCAUAUGCAAUUGGGAAAUCUCAUUACAACGCCCCUUGCAGGGAGAGUUGUAAUAAUAACAAAGAACCACAACUAUUACAAGGGUUUGGUAAAGAAGUGUGUUAAUGUCAUUGUGCCGAGUAGAAUUUGACAGAAUGAUGUUAGAUCAAAUAUCAAUGUAAUUUCUUAAGUCAGAUAUUUUGUUUAAAGAAGAUAAAAUCUGUUCCACGAUUAGAUUAUGACUUUUAAUACUUAAUUCCAGAAAAAUAAUCAAAGCAAAUUGUUUUGCAGUACAUCUAUAUGUACAUAUGUCCAUUAGUGCUAACGUCAGUAUGUUUGACAGAACGAAAGUUACAAAAACUGUUUACUUUGAAUUUACUUUUGUAUAAUUUGUUUUCAUAAAUAGUUUGCAAUUUUUUUAUAAAGAUUAAGUAAAAGUACAUACAUUUUAUGUUACAUUUUUUUCGCCCCUUGUUUUCUUAUAUAAGUUGAAAUAAAGUACCCGAGAAGUUGGGUACCACUUCUCACGGGAGUUAAUUCUGUCAAUUUUUCUCAUAUUUUGAACAUUCAUAUACCAAAAUAAUUUUAACAAUUUAUGUGUGGCAAAAUAUUUUUGAUUUUAUAAUUAACUCUAGUCCAUUCAAGUUUGUAAUUAACAACAUUCUUUACUUUUUAAGCAUAUUUAUCUUUAAAUACGGAGGGGGAAAAAUUGACGGACAUUUAUGGUAAUUUGGUGGAAUAUGUCAUAAAUCAAAAAAAAUGGCGCACAGAAUAUUGAAACACUGCGCCGUUGUGGCACAUAUCGUAGAUAUACCUAGAUUGAGCUUUUCCCCACUGACUUCGUAGAUAUACGAAUUGUUAAACUUUUGAGAUAAUCCCCCACCAGUGAUUUUUUUGGGACCAAAAUGCCACAGAUAUUCGGCUGUUUCCCCUCACUAAAAUUAGAUAUUUUUUCCCAAUUAUAUAUAUAUGUUUUUCCCAAUUUGAAAUCUAGGGAAAUUAAGCCAUUUAAAAAAAAAGGUUACCGUAUAUUGCUGACAAAGAGUAAAUACGUUUUUUCUUCAGUUUUAUUCUCUAAACCACUGCACAUGCAAAAGGUUUUGUAAAGAAUAUGUAAAACAAUAGAGGCAUCCAUAUUGUAGCAGAUAUGCAGCGAAGUAUAUGUUUACAGAUACACAUUAAGACAUAUUGUUGACAAUUUAAUUUGACCGCCAUUAUAUGUAGGGUCAGGCUAAUAACAGGAAGUGGCCAACAGUAUAGGGUUUUACUAAAAUCCGAAAAAUACAAAUUGGAGAGACAUUCUGGAAACUUGAUUAUUAUAAUAUUUACAAGAUUAUGGGUAAAAAUGCUGGUGAAUUUAUAAUUUAUUAUUUUCUUUAUGAAAUUAGACAAUAAGUAUUUUUUAGAAAAAAUAAAUAAUAUCUAUACAAGGUGUGUCUAGUAUUAAUAAUGAUAAAUAACUUAAUAAAUAAAUCUAUACUCUUGUUGUAGUGAUAACAUUUGCAAAAUGUGACAAUGAAAAAAAAUGUGUUGUGAUCAACAGAAAUUUUUUGGGUAGUUCUGGAAAGUGGAAACAUAUUUUUUUUUUAGCCUAACUUCAUAUUUUACUUAUUGUUUGCCCCUUUGUCAUCAUUUAAUAAUUUGCUUCUUGCUCGUGAUUUUUGUUUUUGCGUAUAUCGUUCAUAAUGUCAUACAAGCACAUGUAAAUAUUCAUAUUAAUUUUUGUUUGAUUCAUGUAUUAUCAUAUAUCGUGCCUUUUCUUGUGUAAUUCACUGAAAUUAGAAUUAUUCCAGUUGAACCUUUUUUUUUCUCUCUAUUUUUCAGAAUUAUCUUUGUUCACUUGCUAUUUAUUGUCAAAACUAUUUUCAGGAUUAUUUUUGUUCACUUGCUAUUUAUUGUCACCUUUAGUUAACAUAUAUAUGAGAGACGAAUUAAUAUGUAUAAGUUUAAGUGCAUAUAUGCACUUGUUUUUUAAUCUGAAAUUCUACAAUUCAUCAUGUUUAUUGUUUUUUGUUCAAAAUACAGUUAAACUAAUGUAAGAUAAUUAUGCUGAGACAGAUUUACUCACAAACAUAUGUACAGUAUAUUUGAACCUCCUAUUUUAAGAGUCCUCCAUUAUUUUUCAUCAUUUUUUUAGCAUAGAUGUACAUAUAACGCAUUGAUAUGAUUAAAUUAAGCACAUGGAUGCAUGUGCACUGAAUUGUGAUUGAAUGUCAAUGAUCUUGCACUUAUUUCAUAUUGUUAAUAAGAUAAUCUGAAUAUUGAAAUGCUUUACUUAAUGGCAUUGUCAAAAUAAAAUAUGAAUGCAUAUCAUGUUA